rnacentral:lncRNA from 1 species
CCAGAGCUUGGGGGUCUCCUGCAGCAGACUACUUUUUCUUGUUUAAUCUGCUCCUCCCGGAAGACCUUGUAAAAUCCUGGGGAAACAGUAGCCAACAGAGAGCAUUCACUUAAGACCAAGCAGCAGAGCAGCACUUUGGUAUUCCCUGAAGACACAAGAGAAAUCCCCAGGAACCAAGUGGAAAUGGUCUCAGGAACAAAUUCAUUCUGGUUUCGCGCAAUCCUUGGAAGCUGAUCAUCAGCAGUCACUACUGCAUUACUUUCAGGUAAAGCUUCCCCAACCCAUGCUAAAAGAAAAAACAAAUCAGCUUUAAAAGCAUAAUCAGGGUGGAAGAACCAGGAGGGCAACUCUACCUAGCUGGAAUAAGAUACUUUUUAAAUGAGUGGAAACAAAACAGAGAAGAAACACUGGGCCAUGAAGAGUUCAAGAACAAAUAAGUGAAACUGAGGCAGGCUAGGCAUAGAGAAUUUUUCCUUUCUAGGAUGCUGGUUCAAAGGUGUUGCAGAGCAUAAGGGCCAAACAUCUGCUUGCUUCUGUGACCCAUAUGAAAGAAGACUGUAUUAAACAGAAGCCUUAACGGCUAGGCAUUUUAUCAGACAAACUCACUGGAAGGAUAUGCCCUGUAUGAUGCCCUUAUUGUCAGCUUUGAAGGGAGAAGCCAAAGACUAAAUGAGCAUAGAGACUGCGCUGGUCCCAGCAGAGCCGGGGGAGGGACGCCAGCAGGGCAAGGCAGAGAUGCUACCCCGGUGUCUGCUCUGCAGUUAAGCAGGAGCACGUGUGCCUUUGUGGCUGUUGCUUGAAUACCUUUCAAAAACACUAAAUUCACUUGCAAGCGUUGAAGAAGAAAGAGUAAAAAUAGAAAACCAUGAAUUGUUGGAUGAUGGCAAAAGAAAACAAAAGCAGAACAGAAAACCAGUGGGGAGAAGCCCAUAACUGAGGAGGCAAAGCUUAGGUUUAUUAGUUAGAAAUCUGCAAAACUGACACCCAUUCAUUGAUAGUAUUCAGCUAGGUUUCUAAAGAUCAUAUCCUGCCCUUCAUU